AUCAGCUUGUUGGUGAGGUAAUGGCUUACCAAGGCGACGACGGGUAGCCGGCCUGAGAGGGUGACCGGCCACACUGGGACUGAGACACGGCCCAGACUCCUACGGGAGGCAGCAGUGGGGAAUAUUGCACAAUGGGCGCAAGCCUGAUGCAGCGACGCCGCGUGAGGGAUGACGGCCUUCGGGUUGUAAACCUCUUUCAGUAGGGAAGAAGCCGCAAGGUGACGGUACCUGCAGAAGAAGCGCCGGCUAACUACGUGCCAGCAGCCGCGGUAAUACGUAGGGCGCAAGCGUUAUCCGGAAUUAUUGGGCGUAAAGAGCUCGUAGGCGGUUUGUCGCGUCUGCCGUGAAAGUCCGGGGCUCAACUCCGGAUCUGCGGUGGGUACGGGCAGACUAGAGUGAUGUAGGGGAGACUGGAAUUCCUGGUGUAGCGGUGAAAUGCGCAGAUAUCAGGAGGAACACCGAUGGCGAAGGCAGGUCUCUGGGCAUUAACUGACGCUGAGGAGCGAAAGCAUGGGGAGCGAACAGGAUUAGAUACCCUGGUAGUCCAUGCCGUAAACGUUGGGCACUAGGUGUGGGGGACAUUCCACGUUUUCCGCGCCGUAGCUAACGCAUUAAGUGCCCCGCCUGGGGAGUACGGCCGCAAGGCUAAAACUCAAAGGAAUUGACGGGGGCCCGCACAAGCGGCGGAGCAUGCGGAUUAAUUCGAUGCAACGCGAAGAACCUUACCAAGGCUUGACAUGAACCGGACCGCCGCAGAAAUGUGGUUUCCUCUUUGGGGCUGGUUUACAGGUGGUGCAUGGUUGUCGUCAGCUCGUGUCGUGAGAUGUUGGGUUAAGUCCCGCAACGAGCGCAACCCUCGUUCUAUGUUGCCAGCACGUGAUGGUGGGGACUCAUAGGAGACUGCCGGGGUCAACUCGGAGGAAGGUGGGGACGACGUCAAAUCAUCAUGCCCCUUAUGUCUUGGGCUUCACGCAUGCUACAAUGGCCGGUACAAAGGGUUGCGAUACUGUGAGGUGGAGAUAAUCCCAAAAAGUCGGU
rnacentral:rRNA from 1 species